rnacentral:rRNA from 1 species
GACGAACGCUGGCGGCGUGCCUAAUACAUGCAAGUCGAGCGGACCGGAUUGGGGCUCGCCUUGAUUCGGUCAGCGGCGGACGGGUGAGUAACACGUGGGCAACCUGCCCGCAAGACCGGGAUAACUCCGGGAAACCGGAGCUAAUACCGGAUAACACCGAAGACCGCAUGGUCUUCGGUUGAAAGGCGGCCUUUGGGCUGUCACUUGCGGAUGGGCCCGCGGCGCAUUAGCUAGUUGGUGAGGUAACGGCUCACCAAGGCGACGAUGCGUAGCCGGCCUGAGAGGGUGACCGGCCACACUGGGACUGAGACACGGCCCAGACUCCUACGGGAGGCAGCAGUAGGGAAUCUUCCGCAAUGGGCGAAAGCCUGACGGAGCGACGCCGCGUGAGCGAAGAAGGCCUUCGGGUCGUAAAGCUCUGUUGUGAGGGACGAAGGAGCGCCGUUCGAAGAGGGCGGCGCGGUGACGGUACCUCACGAGAAAGCCCCGGCUAACUACGUGCCAGCCGCCGCCGUAA